ACGAGUGAAGAUUAUGACGGUAACUCGUGAAUAAGGGUCUGCUAACUACGUGCCAGCAGCCGCGGUCAUACGUAGGACCCAAGCGUUAUCCGGAAUUACUGGGCGUAAAGAGUUGCGUAGGUGGCAAUGUAAGCAGGGUGUGAAAGCGUGUGGCUCAACCAUACAGACAUACUCUGAACUGCAUAGCUAGAGUGUAGGAGAGGUACCUGGAAUUUCUAGUGUAGGAGUGAAAUCCGUAGAUAUUAG
rnacentral:rRNA from 1 species